rnacentral:rRNA from 1 species
GUGACUGCGUACCUUUUGUAUAAUGGGUCAGCGACUUAUUUUCAGUGGCGAGCUUAACCGAAUAGGGGAGGCGUAGCGAAAGCGAGUCUUAAUAGGGCGUCUAGUCGCUGGGAAUAGACCCGAAACCGGGCGAUCUAUCCAUGGGCAGGUUGAAGGUUAGGUAACACUGACUGGAGGACCGAACCGACUACCGUUGAAAAGUUAGCGGAUGACCUGUGGAUCGGAGUGAAAGGCUAAUCAAGCUCGGAGAUAGCUGGUUCUCCUCGAAAGCUAUUUAGGUAGCGCCUCAUGUAUCACUGUAGGGGGUAGAGCACUGUUUCGGCUAGGGGGUCAUCCCGACUUACCAAACCGAUGCAAACUCCGAAUACCUACAAGUGCCGAGCAUGGGAGACACACGGCGGGUGCUAACGUCCGUCGUGAAAAGGGAAACAACCCAGACCGUCAGCUAAGGUCCCAAAGUUAUGGUUAAGUGGGAAACGAUGUGGGAAGGCUUAGACAGCUAGGAGGUUGGCUUAGAAGCAGCCACCCUUUAAAGAAAGCGUAAUAGCUCACUAGUCGAGUCGG